rnacentral:misc_RNA from 1 species
UUUCCGUAGGUGAACCUGCGGAAGGAUCAUUAUUGAAUGAUACACUUCUGGCUUUAUGCUGUUUUGCUGGCCCUUUGGGCAAUGUGCACACGGAUUUGGUCACUUGUUUCUUCUGUUCCACCUGUGCACUGCCUGUAGACACGCUGUGUCUAUGAUAUUUGUUAACACACAACAAUGUUAGUUGGCAUGUUAUAUAUAAUAAUAAAAUAUACAACUUUCAACAACGGAUCUCUUGGCUCUC